rnacentral:rRNA from 1 species
CGUAACAAGGUUUCCGUAGGUGAACCUGCGGAAGGAUCAUUAUUGAAAUAAACCUGAUAGGUUGUUGCUGGUUCUCUCGGGAGCAUGUGCACGCCUUGUCAUCUUUAUAUAUCUCCACCUGUGCACCUUUUGUAGACCUUUAUAGGUCUAUGUUGCUUCAUUUACCCCAAUGUAUGUUGAUAGAAUGUCGUCCUAUAAAAAUAUAUACAACUUUCAGCAACGGAUCUCUUGGCUCUCGCAUCGAUGAAGAACGCAGCGAAAUGCGAUAAGUAAUGUGAAUUGCAGAAUUCAGUGAAUCAUCGAAUCUUUGAACGCACCUUGCGCUCCUUGGUAUUCCGAGGAGCAUGCCUGUUUGAGUGUCAUUAAUAUAUAUCAACCCUUCUCUUUUUGAAUGGUUUGGAUGUGGGGGUUUGCUGGUCUCUUAUAGGGUUCAGCUCUCCUGAAAUGCAUUAGCAGAACAACCUGUUCAUUGGUGUGAUAACUAUCUACGCUUUUGAAUGUAAAGGGACAGUUCAGCUUUCUAACCGUCUUUGGACAAUCUAUCAUUUAUGUGACCUCAAAUCAGGUAGGACUACCCGCUGAACUUAAGCAUAUCAAUA